rnacentral:rRNA from 1 species
ACGUAGGAGGCAAGCGUUAUCCGGAGUUACUGGGCGUAAAGCGCGUGCAGGCGGUGCGAUAAGUCGUGCGUGAAAGCUCCCAGGCUUAACCGGGCGAGGACGUGCGGAACUGCUGAACUGGAGGCAGGUAGAGGCGUGUGGAAUUCCGGGUGUAGCGGUGAAAUGCAUAGAUAUCAGUCGGAACACCGGUGGCGAAGGCGGCCUCUUGGGCCGUUCCUGACGCUGAGGCGCGAAAGCCAGGGGAGCGAACGG